rnacentral:rRNA from 1 species
GACGAACGCUGGCGGCGUGCUUAACACAUGCAAGUCGAACGGAAAGGCCCUGCUUUUGUGGGGUGCUCGAGUGGCGAACGGGUGAGUAACACGUGAGUAACCUGCCCUUGACUUUGGGAUAACUUCAGGAAACUGGGGCUAAUACCGGAGAGGAGCUCCUGCUGCAUGGUGGGGGUUGGAAAGUUUCGGCGGUUGGGGAUGGACUCGCGGCUUAUCAGCUUGUUGGUGGGGUAGAGGCGUACCAAGGCGUCGACCGGUAGCCGGCCUGAGAGGGUGAUCGGUCACACUGGAACUGAGACACGGGCCAGACUCGUACGGGAGGCAGCAGUGGGGAAUAUUGGACAAUGGGCGAAAGCGUGAUCCAGCCAUGCCGCGUGUGUGAAGAAGGUCUUCGGAUUGUAAAGCACUUUAAGUUGGGAGGAAGGGCAGUAAGUUAAUACCUUGCUGUUUUGACGUUACCAACAGAAUAAGCACCGGCUAACUUCGUG